UCAAAAAAAAAAUCAUUUUCGUUUUUUAUACGGAAAUAAAGCAAAAUUUUUCUUAGUUUAAUUUCAACUUUAGCAAUUGCAUUUAAUACUCAAACAGCGCAUAGCUAAAGAACGUUUUUCCGGAAAGCUUAUAAAUUUUAUUUUCCACUUCAUGGAAAUAAAAUUCGCCUUGUUGGAUACAGCCUCCGAUUUGGUGUUGCUGGGUUUGGUUGUGAUGUUUUUGGCCACACUGUUGCAGCUGUUGAAAUUAGUCGUGGAGCAGUGGCCUUUCCUGUGUCCAAGCUUGAUUUGCCCGUAUAUAUCAACUUUUAUGAAAAUUGAUUAAGAUUUUUUUUCAGCUUCUACUGAAAGAAAAAGAACACAAUAAUCAAUAAUGGCUUUAGAGUAUUUUGCAUAUGUUUUAUCUCAAGAUGAAGAUGUAGGUACCCUUCAUCAUUGGAAAGACGUUUGUAUCGUAAGGCAGAAGAUCCUUUCCUGUUGAAUACAACUGGGGUUAUUGAUAGCCAACGAAAGGCAGAAGAAUAAUAGCAAUAUCUACAGAGAAACAGGUACCACCUAAAUACCGCAGACAGGCAAACCCAAGUUUAGGCAAACGUCACUCUAUUCAGUCUACACCAAGCAAAUUUAAUGUUAAAAAAAAAAAACCAAAUAAAUAAAGAAUAGAAAAAUGUAACACAAAAAGAAAAAAAUACAAACCAAAAAUACUGAUGGAGCCAAGAAAUUGCGAUCUUCACACAAAAUUUGGAGUCCUUUCUUUGCCACCCAGAUGCAGGAUAUAUUUGGAUGUUUGUUUAAAAUCUGAGAAUUUGAGUUUCUGAAAAUAAAUGUAUACGCUUUAAUGCAAAAUAAUGACCAGUGCACAGCGUCAGCAAAGAGAUAAAACGUAAUCGGCGGCCACGAAAAAAUUCCAAGACAAGUGAAAACCCUUUAAGACGAAAACGAAACGAAAACAAAAAGCAAAUAAAUGAAU